AAAUUAUAGACAAUUGUUAGGCCUGGUGCCACAUGUGAUGUUUAAAAAGCUGUUCACUAGUUGAAUGGAACCCAUCUUUAGGCAUGCUUUUUACUGAAUAAAAUAUAUGUUUGAAUAAUAAUUUGUCAUGCUUUAACAUAUAAUCUUCUUCUGAAUUCUAGCUGGAAAGUUGGAAUUAGCUUCAAAUAGCUUCACAUUAAUGGACAGAUUGCU
rnacentral:lncRNA from 1 species